rnacentral:rRNA from 1 species
UGGGGAAUAUUGCGCAAUGGGGGGAACCCUGACGCAGCGACGCCGCGUGAAGGAAGAAGGCCUUCGGGUUGUAAACUUCUUUGGUGAGGGAAGAAGGAAGUGACGGUACCUCAGGAACAAGCCACGGCUAACUACGUGCCAGCAGCCGCGGUAAUACGUAGGUGGCGAGCGUUGUCCGGAAUUACUGGGUGUAAAGGGCGCGCAGGCGGGGAUGUAAGUCAGGUGUGAAAACCCGCGGCUCAACUGCGGGAUUGCAUCUGAAACUACAUUUCUUGAGUACUGGAGAGGGAAGCGGAAUUCCCAGUGUAGCGGUGAAAUGCGUAGAUAUUGGGAGGAACACCAGUGGCGAAGGCGGCUUUCUGGACAGUAACUGACGCUGAGGCGCGAAAGCGUGGGGAGCGAACAGG